rnacentral:rRNA from 1 species
GGAAGUAAUUCGAGGGCGCAUGGCGGAUGCCUUGGCUCGCGGAGGCGAUGAAGGACGUGACAAGCUGCGAUAAUCCGCGGGUAGGCGCAAGUGGCCUUUGAUCCGCGGGUCUCCGAAUGGGACAACCCACCGGCUUUGCCGGUAUCCCCGUUUUUUUUGUCGGGGAGGCGAACGCGGGGAACUGAAACAUCUUAGUACCCGCAGGAAGAGAAAAUAAUCCAAUGAUUCCCCGAGUAGUGGCGAGCGAAAGGGGAGUAGCCCAAACCGGGGGCCGUCUUCGGGCGUCCCCGGGGUUGUAGGACCGCGCUUGCGGCGGGAGGGGGACGAGGCGAGGCCGCCUGGAAAGCGGCGCCGCAGAGGGUGAGAGCCCCGUAGCCGAAGUUCCCCUUCCCCGCGCGGCAUCCUGAGUAGGGCGGGACACGUGUAAUCCCGCCUGAAUCCGCCGGGACCAUCCGGCAAGGCUAAACACUCCCGCGAGACCGAUAGCGUACCAGUACCGUGAGGGAAAGGUGAAAAGCACUCCGCCGAGGAGGUUGAAACAGAUCCUGAAACCAUGCGCCCGCAAGCGGUCGGAGCGCGCCUUGUGCGCGUGACGGCGUGCCUUUUGCAUAAUGAGCCUACGAGUUGCCCCCGCCGGCGAGGAUAAGCGCGACGACGCGCGCAUCCGCAGUGAGAGCGAGCCUGAAUAGGGCGUUGAGUCGGCGUGGGCAGACGCGAAACCAGGUGAUCUACACUUGGCCAGGGUGAAGUCCCGGUAACACGUGAUGGAGGCCCGAACCAAUAAGCGUUGAAAAGCUUCUGGAUGAGCCGAGUGUAGGAGUGAAAGGCCAAUCAAACCUGGAGAUAGCUCGUACUCCCCGAAAGGCAUUUAGGUGCCGCGUGGGGCGUUCGCCGCGAGAGGUAGAGCGACCGAUAGGUCGAGAGGGCUUCGCCGCCUAUCGAGACCUGACGAACUCCGAAUGCUCGCGGCCCAGAGCCCCGCAGUAAGGGGGCGGGUGCUAAGGUCCGUCCCCGAGAGGAGAAGAAUCCAGACCGCCGGCUAAGGCCCCGAAGUCCCGCCUGAGUUAGUCUAACGAAGUCCGGUCCCCAUGACAGCUAGGAUGUUGGCUUGGAAGCAGCCAUUCAUUCAAAGAGUGCGUAACAGCUCACUAGUCGAGGGUCUGGGCGUGGAUAAUAAUCGGGUAUAAGGCGGGCGCCGAAGCCGCGGGGUGCGCCUUGCGCACCGGUAGGGGAGCAUUCCGCGCUGCGUCGAAUGCCGGGGGGCGACCCCGGCUGGAGCGCGCGGAAAGGCAAAUGUAGGCAUGAGUAACGAGAAGGGGGGUGCGAUUCCCCCCCGCCGCAAGACCAAGGUUUCCCGGGCUAUGCCAAUCAGCCCGGGGUCAGUCGGGUCCUAAGCCUAAGCCGAGAGGCGACGGCGAUGGCAUGACGGUCAACAUUCCGUCACUGCCGCGUGGGGCGACGCGGGGAAGGAGAGGUGGCACGGCCGCGGGGCGACGGAAGUCCCCGUUGAAGGGCGUACCCGUUGAGAUGCCCAGGCAAGUCCGGGCGUCGAGGGGAACCUGAGAGUACGCCUGGCCCUCCGGGGCCGGGCGAUAGCGCCGGUAAUCUUGCUCCCGAGAAAAUCCGCUAAGCUUCACCCGCGCGGCACCCGUACCUCAAACGGACACACGUGGUCGGGUAGAGCAUACUGAGGCGUUGAGAGACUCAUGGCCAAGGAACUAGGCAAACUGGCCCCGUAACUUAGGGAUAAGGGGUCCUCCUUUUUGGGAGGCGCAGAGAAUAGGUCCAGGCAACUGUUUAACAAAAACACAGGGCUGUGCGAACUCGUGAGAUGAUGUAUACAGCCUGACACCUGCCCGGUGCCGGAAGGUUAAGAGGAGGGGUCACCCUUUCGGGGGGAAGCCCUGAGUUGAAGCCCCGGUAAACGGCGGCCGUAACUAUAACGGUCCUAAGGUAGCGAAAUUCCUUGUCGGGUAAGUUCCGACCUGCACGAAUGGUGUAAUGAUCCGGACGCUGUCUCGACCAUGAUCUCAGUGAAAUUGUAGUAUCGGUGAAGAUGCCGAUUACCCGCGAUGGGACGAAAAGACCCCGUGAACCUUUACUACAGCUUAGCGUUGGGCUUGGUCAUCCGACGUGUAGGAUAGGCCGGAGGCUAUGAAGGGGGCGCGCCAGCGUCCGCGGAGCCGCCGUUGAAAUACGGCCCUUUGGCUGUCCGGGCUCUAACGCGCUUUUUCGGCGCGGACACCGCUUGGCGGGUAGUUUGACUGGGGUGGUCGCCUCCAAAAGCGUAACGGAGGCUUCCAAAGGUGCCCUCGGGCCGAUUGGUAACCGGCCUUUGGAGUGCAAUGGCAUAAGGGCGCUUGACUGGGAGGGAGACAUCCCGAGCAGGCAGGAAACUGGGGCAUAGUGAUCCGGCGGACGUGCGUGGAAACUCCGUCGCUCAAAGGAUAAAAGGUACUCCGGGGAUAACAGGCUGAUCCCCCCCAAGAGCUCAUAUCGACGGGGUGGUUUGGCACCUCGAUGUCGGCUCGUCACAUCCUGGGGCUGGAGAAGGUCCCAAGGGUUGGGCUG